rnacentral:rRNA from 1 species
AGACCUCUAAUCGGAAAAGACCACCCGCUGAGUUUAAGCAUAUC